UACAGAGGGUGCGAGCGUUGUCCGGAAUCACUGGGCGUAAAGGGCGCGUAGGUGGCGAGCCAAGUCGAUGGUGAAAGCUCGUCGCUCAACGACGAGUCGGCCACCGAUACUGGGUUGCUCGAGCACUGUAGAGGCAGAUGGAAUUCCGGGUGUAGCGGUGGAAUGCGUAGAGAUCCGGAGGAACCCCAGAGGCGAAGGCGGCGCCCUGGCUCGCAACUGACGCUCAGACACGACAGCAUGGGGAGCGAACGGG
rnacentral:rRNA from 1 species